rnacentral:rRNA from 1 species
UACGGAAGGUCCGGGCGUUAUCCGGAUUUAUUGGGUUUAAAGGGAGCGUAGGCCGGAGAUUAAGCGUGUUGUGAAAUGUAGAUGCUCAACAUCUGAACUGCAGCGCGAACUGGUUUCCUUGAGUACGCAUAAAGUGGGCGGAAUUCGUGGUGUAGCGGUGAAAUGCUUAGAUAUCACGAAGAACUCCGAUUGCGAAGGCAGCUCACUGGGGCGCAACUGACGCUGAAGCUCGAAAGCGCGGGUAUCGAACAGGAUUAGAUACCCGUGUAGUCCGCUAUGACU